CCCUGUGGCUCAGUUGGUAGAGCAUGGUGUUUGCAACGCCAGCAUGGUGUGUGCAACGACAGGGUUGUGGGUUCGAUUCCCACAGGGG
rfam:Salmo salar isolate Sally breed double haploid chromosome ssa17, whole genome shotgun sequence.